UACGAAGGGGGCUAGCGUUGCUCGGAAUCACUGGGCUUAAAGGGCGCGUAGGCGGGCCAUCAAGUCAGGGGUGAAAUCCUCCAGCUUAACUGGAGAACUGCCUUUGAUACUGAUGGUCUCGAGUAAGGUAGGGGCAUGCGGAACUGAUGGUGGAGCGGUGAAAUGUGUUGAUAUCAUCAGGAACUCCGGUGGCGAAGGCGGCAUGCUGGACCUUCACUGACGCUGAGGCGCGAAAGCUAGGGGAGCGAACGGG
rnacentral:rRNA from 1 species